UACGGAGGGGGCGAGCGUUGUUCGGAAUCACUGGGUGUAAAGGGUUCGUAGGUGGCUUGCUAAGUCAGACGUGAAAUCCCUCAGCUUAACUGGGGAACUGCGUCUGAUACUGGCGAGCUUGAGUGCAGGAGAGGAACGCAGAAUUCCAGGUGUAGCGGUGAAAUGCGUAGAUAUCUGGAGGAACACCUGAGGUGAAGACGGGUUGCUGGGCUGACACUGACGCUGAGGCGCGAAAGCCAGGGGAGCAAACGGG
rnacentral:rRNA from 1 species